GACUCGGUGGCGAAAUGUAUUGCGUCUACUUCAUAUAUCGAUUUGGAGGUUCAAAGUGAAGGUUGCCCGUUCGAGCCGGGCCCGAGUCA